GUUAAACCGCUCAGUGGUUCAGAGCUUAUAUGUUUGGUUUGAAACCAAGGGGUCCCCGGUUCGAAUCCCGGUUAAAGCA